AGUAGGGAAAUGCUCACAGCUGCCUUUAGCAGCAGGUCUGGCUGCUACAGCCAGAGAGAAGCGUGAUCAUGCAACAGGACUAGCUGUCACCUCCUGCUGCGUGCCCAGAGAGAGGGCAGGAACAGGGCGGCAGGGUGGGAGAUGAUCCUCCAACAGUGGUUCUGCCCUUGGGUUCAGUAAGCUGUGAGUUCCCUGAUGCCAGACACGGGCAAGAGGACAUCGCGCGUCUUUCAAGUAGAGUUAUGAAAAGGAAGAAAGUGGUCAGCAGACUAAAACACUGGAAUUGUCCUGUUCGAGAUCCAGAGCUUCCACGUUCCUUGGGUGAAAAUGUGGGCAAGGAAUGAAUCCAUGGUGCUCUGGAGAUGAAGAGAAGAUUCCUGAACAGAUCCCAAAAGGCCUUGCAUGAAUCCAAUGGCUACCUGCCUCUCAAGUGUAACAUCCCACCAGCUCCCUCUGCUUCAAGUACACUGGCUUUUUUUGAGUUACAUAGAUGUCCCCUGCUCUCUUCUGCCACAGAGCCUUUGCAAAUGCUGUUUCAGCUGCCUUCUACUCUCUUCCUCCCAGGCCCUCACCAC